UGGGGAAUAUUGCGCAAUGGGGGGAACCCUGACGCAGCCAUGCCGCGUGAAUGAAGAAGGCCUUCGGGUUGUAAAGUUCUUUCGGUAUUGAGGAAGGUUGAUGUGUUAAUAGCACAUCAAAUUGACGUUAAAUACAGAAGAAGCACCUGCUAACUCCGUGCCAGCAGCCGCGGUAAUACGGAGGGUGCGAGCGUUAAUCGGAAUAACUGGGCGUAAAGGGCACGCAGGCGGUUAUUUAAGUGAGGUGUGAAAGCCCCGGGCUUAACCUGGGAAUUGCAUUUCAGACUGGGUAACUAGAGUACUUUAGGGAGGGGUAGAAUUCCACGUGUAGCGGUGAAAUGCGUAGAGAUGUGGAGGAAUACCGAAGGCGAAGGCAGCCCCUUGGGAAUGUACUGACGCUCAUGUGCGAAAGCGUGGGGAGCAAACAGGAUUAGAUACCCUGGUAGUCCACGCUGUAAACGCUGUCGAUUUGGGGGUUGGGGUUUAACUCUGGCGCCCGUAGCUAACGUGAUAAAUCGACCGCCUGGGGAGUACGGCCGCAAGGUUA
rnacentral:rRNA from 1 species